rnacentral:rRNA from 1 species
UCUGGUGAUGAUGGCGCAGAGGUCACACCCGUUCCCAUGCUGAACACGGAAGUUAAGUUCUUGAGCGCUGAUGGUAGUCGGGGGUUUCCCCCGGGUAGAGUAGGUUAUCGCCAGGC